GAUAAACGCUGGCGGCGCACAUAAGACAUGCAAGUCGAACGGACUUAACCAUUAGUUUACUAUUGGAGCGGUUAGUGGCGGACUGGUGAGUAACACGUAAGCAACCUGCCUAUCAGAGGGGAACAACAGUUAGAAAUGACUGCUAAUACCGCAUAUGCCUAAGUACCACAUGGUACAAUAGGGAAAGGAGCAAUCCGCUGAUAGAUGGUCUCGCGUCUGAUUAGCUAGUUGGUGAGGUAACGGCUCACCAAGGCGACGAUCAGUAGCCGGUCUGAGAGGAUGAACGGCCACAUUGGGACUGAGAUACGGCCCAG
rnacentral:rRNA from 1 species